rnacentral:rRNA from 1 species
UAAUACGUAGGGUGCGAGCGUUAAUCGGAAUUACUGGGCGUAAAGCGUGCGCAGGCGGUUAUGUAAGUCAGAUGUGAAAGCCCCGGGCUUAACCUGGGAAUUGCAUUUGAGACUGCAUGGCUAGAGUGUAGCAGAGGGGGGUAGAAUUCCACGUGUAGCAGUGAAAUGCGUAGAGAUGUGGAGGAAUACCGAUGGCGAAGGCAGCCCCCUGGGUUACUACUGACGCUCAUGUACGAAAGCGUGGGGAGCAAACAGGAUUAGAUACCCUGGUAGUCCACGCCCUAAACUAUGUCAACUAGGUGUUGGAAGGGUUAAACCUUUUAGUGCCGUAGCUAACGCGUGAAGUUGACCGCCUGGGGAGUACGGCCGCAAGGCUA